rnacentral:tRNA from 1 species
GCUUUGGUAGCUCAGUGGUUAAGGCACCUGACUGGUAAUCCACAGGUGCUGGGUUCAAUCCCAGCUGAGGCA